UACGUAGGGGGCAAGCGUUGUCCGGAUUUAUUGGGCGUAAAGAGCGUGUAGGCGGCCUGAAAGGUCAGCUGUGAAAACUCGAGGCUCAACCUCGAGACGUCGGUUGAAACCAUCUGGCUAGAGUCCGGAAGAGGAGUGUGGAAUUCCCGGUGUAGCGGUGAAAUGCGCAGAUAUCGGGAAGAACACCCGUGGUGAAGGCGGCACUCUGGGACGGUACUGACGCUGAGACGCGAAAGCGUGGGGAGCGAACAGG
rnacentral:rRNA from 1 species